GUAGGGUCCGAGCGUUGUCCGGAAUUAUUGGGCGUAAAGGGCUUGUAGGCGGUUCGUCACGUCGGAAGUGAAAACUCAGGGCUUAACCCUGAGCCUGCUUCCGAUACGGUCAAACUAGAGGAAUGCAGGGGAGAACGGAAUUCCUGGUGGAGCGGUGGAAUGCGCAGAUAUCAGGAGGAACACCGGUGGCGAAGGCGGUUCUCUGGGCAUUUCCUGACGCUGAGAAGCGAAAGCGUGGGGAGCAAACAGGCUUAGAUACCCUGGUAGUCCACGCCGUGAACGGUGGGCACUAGGUGUGGGGAACAUUCCACGUUCUCCGUGCCGAAGCUAACGCAUUAAGUGCCCCGCCUGGGGAGUACGGCCGCAAGGCUA
rnacentral:rRNA from 1 species